ACCGGGCAUGGUGGCGCGUGCCUGUAGUCCCAGCUAUUAGGGAGGCUGAGGCUGGAGGAUCUCUUGAGUCCAGGAGUUCUGGGCUGUAGUGGCUAUGCCAAUCAGGUGUCCACACUAAGUUCGGCAUCAAUAUGGUGACCUCCUGGGAGUGGGGGACCACCAGGUUGCCUAAGGAGGGGGUGAACCGGUCCAGGUCGGAAACGGAGCAGGUCAAAACUCCCGUGCUGAUCGGUAGUGGGAUUGUGCCUGUGAAUAGCAACAUACCAAGACCCCAUCUCUUUUAAAAAAAUAAAAAAU
ensembl:misc_RNA Metazoa_SRP Metazoan signal recognition particle RNA